UAUAGAUGGAUCCGCGCUGCAUUAGCUAGUUGGUAAGGUAACGGCUUACCAAGGCAACGAUGCAUAGCCGACCUGAGAGGGUGAUCGGCCACACUGGAACUGAGACACGGUCCAGACUCCUACGGGAGGCAGCAGUAGGGAAUCUUCCGCAAUGGGCGAAAGCCUGACGGAGCAACGCCGCGUGAGUGAUGAAGGUCUUCGGAUCGUAAAACUCUGUUAUUAGGGAAGAACAUAUGUGUAAGUAACUGUGCACAUCUUGACGGUACCUAAUCAGAAAGCCACGGCUAACUACGUGCCAGCAGCCGCGGUAAUACGUAGGUGGCAAGCGUUAUCCGGAAUUAUUGGGCGUAAAGCGCGCGUAGGCGGUUUUUUAAGUCUGAUGUGAAAGCCCACGGCUCAACCGUGGAGGGUCAUUGGAAACUGGAAAACUUGAGUGCAGAAGAGGAAAGUGGAAUUCCAUGUGUAGCGGUGAAAUGCGCAGAGAUAUGGAGGAACACCAGUGGCGAAGGCGACUUUCUGGUCUGUAACUGACGCUGAUGUGCGAAAGCGUGGGGAUCAAACAGGAUUAGAUACCCUGGUAGUCCACGCCGUAAACGAUGAGUG
rnacentral:rRNA from 1 species